rnacentral:rRNA from 1 species
GGAGUUUGGGCCGUGUCUCAGUCCCAAUGUGGCCGUUCACCCUCUCAGGCCGGCUACUGAUCGUCGCUUUGGUGGGCCGUUACCCCGCCAACUGGCUAAUCAGACGCGGAUCCAUCUCGCACCGAUAAAUCUUUUACCCCGAUGCCAUGCGGCACCGUGGUCUUAUGCGGUAUUACCAGCCGUUUCCAGCUGCUAUCCCCCAGUGCGAGGCAGGUUAUCCACGCGUUACUCACCCGUCCGCCACUAAGUUAAGUUCCAUCCGAAAACUUCCCUUAACCCCGUUCGACUUGCAUGUGUUAGGCACGCCGCCAGCGUUCAUC